AUUGAACGCUGGCGGCAGGCCUAACACAUGCAAGUCGAGCGGAUGAAGGGAGCUUGCUCCUGGAUUCAGCGGCGGACGGGUGAGUAAUGCCUAGGAAUCUGCCUGGUAGUGGGGGAUAACGUCCGGAACGGGCGCUAAUACCGCAUACGUCCUGAGGGAGAAAGUGGGGGAUCUUCGGACCUCACGCUAUCAGAUGAGCCUAGGUCGGAUUAGCUAGUUGGUGGGGUAAAGGCCUACCAAGGCGACGAUCCGUAACUGGUCUGAGAGGAUGAUCAGUCACACUGGAACUGAGACACGGUCCAGACUCCUACGGGAGGCAGCAGUGGGGAAUAUUGGACAAUGGGCGAAAGCCUGAUCCAGCCAUGCCGCGUGUGUGAAGAAGGUCUUCGGAUUGUAAAGCACUUUAAGUUGGGAGGAAGGGCAGUAAGUUAAUACCUUGCUGUUUUGACGUUACCAACAGAAUAAGCACCGGCUAACUUCGU
rnacentral:rRNA from 1 species